rnacentral:rRNA from 1 species
AGAGUUUGAUCAUGGCUCAGGACGAACGCUGGCGGCGUGCUUAACACAUGCAAGUCGAACGAAGAGCGAUGGAAGCUUGCUUCUAUCAAUCUUAGUGGCGAACGGGUGAGUAACGCGUAAUCAACCUGCCCUUCAGAGGGGGACAACAGUUGGAAACGACUGCUAAUACCGCAUACGAUCUAAUCUCGGCAUCGAGGAUAGAUGAAAGGUGGCCUCUACAUGUAAGCUAUCACUGAAGGAGGGGAUUGCGUCUGAUUAGCUAGUUGGAGGGGUAACGGCCCACCAAGGCGAUGAUCAGUAGCCGGUCUGAGAGGAUGAACGGCCACAUUGGGGCUGAGACACGGCCCAGACUCUUACGGGAGGCAGCAGUGGGGAAUCUUCCGCAAUGGACGAAAGUCUGACGGAGCAACGCCGCGUGAGUGAUGACGGCCUUCGGGUUGUAAAGCUCUGUUAAUCGGGACGAAAGGCCUUCUUGCGAAUAGUGAGAAGGAUUGACGGUACCGGAAUAGAAAGCCACGGCUAACUACGUGCCAGCAGCCGCGGUAAUACGUAGGUGGCAAGCGUUGUCCGGAAUUAUUGGGCGU